UAUGGUGAUAAUAGCGGAGGGUAAACACCCGUUCCCAUUUCGAACACGGGAGUUAAGCUCUCCCGCGCCGAUGAUACUUCGUGGGAAAGUAGGUUGUUGCCGUAA
rnacentral:rRNA from 1 species